AACCCUAACCUGUCCACCUCCCGUCACCAUAAGCGGCGGCCGCCACUACCUUCUCCAGUCUCUACUGUGCGUCUGCUGAGGUGAGAGCGCAAGGGGAUGCCAAGGUGCCGGCGAUGCCGUCCAUCACUAUCGGCCAUCAUCGUCUAGCUGGGGUCAUCGCAAUCCAGGCGGUAAACUGCAACUCGUCACCCAAGACAGCCCCAUCGCAGUGCCAUCCUCCAUACCUUCACUUCUGACAACAUCUACCGCUUGAAUCCUUGAUCCGUGUGCUUGAAUCCUUGAUCUGCUAGACUUCGAUUAUUGAUUGCUAAGUGAUGGAGGGAUUUUGGAUGGCGGCCUGAGAAUUAAGAGCUGGAACAAUUUUAGCUAGCAGCCUAUCUUAUUUGAGCAAUAUUGUAAAUCUGUAAUAAUCUAAUAAAUUUUUGUUUAUUUUCUUGGCUAGUUAAAUACUCGUUGUGAUGA